rnacentral:rRNA from 1 species
UGAGCAAUCUGCCCUUCUCUUUGGAAUAAGCGUUGGAAACGACGUCUAAUGCCGAAUACGACCUCCUUUCGCAUGAUCGGAGGUGGAAAGCUCCGGCGGAGAAGGAUGAGCUCGCGGCCUAUCAGCUAGUUGGUGUGGGUAAUGGCCCACCAAGGCGACGACGGGUAGCCGGCCUGAGAGGGUGACCGGCCACACUGGGACUGAGACACGGCCCAGACUCCUACGGGAGNAGCG